CCAGGGUUUGACAUCCAGAGAAGCACUACGAAAGUAGAGUGUGCCUUUUGGAACUCUGUGACAGGUGUUGCAUGGCCGUCGUCAGCUCGUGUCGUGAGAUGUUUGGUUAAGUCCAUCAACGAGCGCAACCCUUGUGAAUAGUUGUAUUUUUCUAUUCAGACUGCUCUAGUAAUAGGGAGGAAGGAGGGGAUGAUGUCAGGUCAGUAUUACCCUUACAUCCUGGGCUAGAAACACGAUACAAUGGCUAGUACAAUGCGCAGCAAAGCCAGUCGUAGUCCGGAUCGCAGUCUGCAAUCCGACUGCGUGAAGUCUGAAUCGCUUUAAUCGUGGAUCACAUGUACGGUGAAUACGUUCCGGUCUUGACACACCGCCGUACACCAUGGGAGCGGGUCUGCUGAAUGGUAGCUACCCGACAGGCGACACACGCAGGCUCCGCUGGGUGAGCUACAAGGANCGAAUAUAUGAUCCGG
rnacentral:rRNA from 1 species